GCCAGACUCCUACGGGAGGCAGCAGUCGAGAAUCAUUCACAAUGGGGGAAACCCUGAUGCAGCGACGCCGCGUGAGCGAAGAAGUAUUUCGGUAUGUAAAGCUCUAUCAGCAGGGAAGAAAAUGACGGUACCUGACUAAGAAGCCCCGGCUAAAUACGUGCCAGCAGCCGCGGUAAUACGUAUGGGGCAAGCGUUAUCCGGAUUUACUGGGUGUAAAGGGAGCGCAGGCGGCUUGGCAAGUCUGAUGUGAAAGGCUGGGGCUCAACCCCAGGACUGCAUUGGAAACUGUUAGGCUGGAGUGUCGGAGAGGUAAGCGGAAUUCCUAGUGUAGCGGUGAAAUGCGUAGAUAUUAGGAAGAACACCAGUGGCGAAGGCGGCUUGCUGGACAGUAACUGACGUUGAGGCUCGAAAGCGUGGGGAGCAAACAGGAUUAGAUACCCCAGUAGC
rnacentral:rRNA from 1 species